rnacentral:rRNA from 1 species
GCGGAGGAAAAGAAACCAACAGGGAUUGCCUCAGUAACGGCGAGUGAAGCGGCAAAAGCUCAAAUUUGAAAUCUAGCACCUUCAGUGUUCGAGUUGUAAUUUGAAGAAGGUAACUUUGGUUUUGGCUCUUGUCUAUGUUCCUUGGAACAGGACGUCACAGAGGGUGAGAAUCCCGUGCGAUGAGAUGCCCAAUUCCAUGUAAAGUGCUUUCGAAGAGUCGAGUUGUUUGGGAAUGCAGCUCUAAGUGGGUGGUAAAUUCCAUCUAAAGCUAAAUAUUGGCGAGAGACCGAUAGCGAACAAGUACAGUGAUGGAAAGAUGAAAAGAACUUUGAAAAGAGAGUGAAAAAGUACGUGAAAUUGUUGAAAGGGAAGGGCUUGAGAUCAGACUUGGUAUUUUGCGUUCCCUUCCUUUUUGGUUGGGUUCCUCGCAGUUUACUGGGCCAGCAUCGGUUUGGAUGGUAGGAUAAUGACAUUGGAAUGUAGCUUUACUUCGGUGAAGUGUUAUAGACUUUGUUGAUACUGCCUAUCUAGACCGAGGACUGCGUCUUUGACUAGGAUGCUGGCGUAAUGAUCUUAAGCCGCCCGUCU